CUGAAACAAUUUCGCUUGGGAACUCGAGAAAAUAGAUUUCAAAGUAGAGAGAAAAUGUGGAAACACAGGAAAAAUUUCAUCAUCAGUUUCAUUUCAUCAGUACUUUUAAGUGUUCAUGGGAACUUUAAAAUUUGUUUCGACAUUUAUUGUUGUUAGAAAUGAUUUCUUUCGCGAAGAUAUUUAAAACAGUUGCACAGUCCAUGUAAAUAAGCUCGGUACAAAGUUUUUCCCCUUGUUACUCGAAAUUCCUGUGGUUUCCUUAGUUCAACAGCCUCUUCUUUUACCGCUGCUAAACGCGGUCUACGUAGUCGGUGGUGGCUCAUCCAAGUUGUGAAAGCACAGUUUAGCCUCGGUCAAGCCAGAAAGGUGAUGCUAAUAGACUUGUGAGAUGGCCACUGUCCACAACUUCUCCUCUUCAUAUCACUCUUAGGGAAAAGACCAGACAUAGUGUAAUUUGUUACUUUAUUAUCUAUUUUUUCACAUACAGUAGUGUGAAUGUACAGAAACGCCAGAAAAAAAGUUACAACUACAUGUACCAACCCCUGCCCGCCUCCUCUGUAAAUUGUAUAAAACUUAUGGGAGACGAACCAAGUUGACAAGUUGAUUAUUAACACCAUUCACAAGCUAUUAAAUAAUUUGACAAAUAUC